rnacentral:rRNA from 1 species
AACGCGAAGAACCUUACCAGGGUUUGACAUCCUCUGAAACCCGCAGAAAUGCGGUCCCCAUGGCAACAUGGCAGAGAGACAGGUGCUGCAUGGCUGUCGUCAGCUCGUGUCGUGAGAUGUUGGGUUAAGUCCCGCAACGAGCGCAACCCUCGUCGAGUGUUGCCAUCAUUCAGUUGGGCACUCACUCGAGACCGCCGUUGAUAAGACGGAGGAAGGUGGGGAUGACGUCAAGUCCGCAUGGCCCUUACAUCCUGGGCUACACACGUGCUACAAUGGCCGGUACAACGAGCAGCAAGACCGCGAGGUCAAGCUAAUCUCCUAAAGCCGGUCUCAGUUCGGAUCGAAGGCUGCAACUCGCCUUCGUGAAGUCGGAAUCGCUAGUAACCGCAGAUCAGCUACGCUGCGGUGAAUACGUUCCCGGGCCUUGUACACACCGGAGUGC